CCACGAUCUCGUAGAUCUAGUAAGGUCUCCCAUCCUUAUAAAAGGUACUUAUAUACUUUCAGAGGAUGUAGAAAAAAUAUUUCUUAUAGGAGAUAGAGAUCAAGUAGUUGAUCCUAAGAUCAAUGAUGAGGUAAUGUGCGACAUUGAUUUCGAGAAAUGGAUAGAAAUAAUAAAAUCAAAAGUUCACUUGAUACAUACCAGCCC
rnacentral:lncRNA from 1 species